rnacentral:rRNA from 1 species
GCAGUCGAACGAUGACCACCUUCGGGUGGGGAUUAGUGGCGAACGGGUGAGUAACACGUGGGUAAUCUGCCCUGCACUCUGGGACAAGCCCUGGAAACGGGGUCUAAUACCGGAUACUGAGCCUCGCAGGCAUCUGCGGGGUUCGAAAGCUCCGGCGGUGCAGGAUGAGCCCGCGGCCUAUCAGCUUGUUGGUGAGGUAACGGCUCACCAAGGCGACGACGGGUAGCCGGCCUGAGAGGGCGACCGGCCACACUGGGACUGAGACACGGCCCAGACUCCUACGGGAGGCAGCAGUGGGGAAUAUUGCACAAUGGGCGAAAGCCUGAUGCAGCGACGCCGCGUGAGGGAUGACGGCCUUCGGGUUGUAAACCUCUUUCAGCAGGGAAGAAGCGAAAGUGACGGUACCUGCAGAAGAAGCGCCGGCUAACUACGUGCCAGCAGCCGCGGUAAUACGUAGGGCGCGAGCGUUGUCCGGAAUUAUUGGGCGUAAAGAGCUCGUAGGCGGCUUGUCGCGUCGGUUGUGAAAGCCCGGGGCUUAACCCCGGGUCUGCAGUCGAUACGGGCAGGCUAGAGUUCGGUAGGGGAGAUCGGAAUUCCUGGUGUAGCGGUGAAAUGCGCAGAUAUCAGGAGGAACACCGGUGGCGAAGGCGGAUCUCUGGGCCGAUACUGACGCUGAGGAGCGAAAGCGUGGGGAGCGAACAGGAUUAGAUACCCUGGUAGUCCACGCCGUAAACGGUGGGCACUAGGUGUGGGCGACAUUCCACGUCGUCCGUGCCGCAGCUAACGCAUUAAGUGCCCCGCCUGGGGAGUACGGCCGCAAGGCUAAAACUCAAAGGAAUUGACGGGGGCCCUCACAAGCCGGCGGAUCAUGUGGCUUAAUUCGACGCAACGCCAAGCAACCUUACCAAAGCGUUGACAUACACCGGAAAAGCACUCGAACAUCGGGGCCCCCUUGUGGGCCG